CCUUCCCCUAGAGGCACUGCAGCUGUGGCUGCUGUGUCACAGGUGGGUCAGUAGGUGGCAGAGGGGAGAGAGGUCAUGUCUAUGCUCAGUGCUCUGACUUGUGAAGAACAUCCGAAUGAUUGGAAAGUAGACUAACAUU
ensembl:snoRNA